UACCAGACUCCUACGGGAGGCAGCAGUGAGGAAUAUUGGUCAAUGGGCGAGAGCCUGAACCAGCCAAGUCGCGUGAAGGAUGACGGCCCUACGGGUUGUAAACUUCUUUUGUCAGGGAGCAAUUGGGUCCACGCGUGGGCUUAGCGAGAGUACCUGAAGAAAAAGCAUCGGCUAACUCCGUGCCAGCAGCCGCGGUAAUACGGAGGAUGCGAGCGUUAUCCGGAUUUAUUGGGUUUAAAGGGUGCGUAGGCGGAAUAUCAAGUCAGCGGAAAAAAUUCGGGGCCCAACCCCGGCGAGCCGUUGAAACUGGCAGACUUGAGUUGGCGAGAAGUAUGCGGAAUGCGUGGUGUAGCGGUGAAAUGCAUAGAUAUCACGAAGAACCCCGAUUGCGAAGGCAGCCUGCCGCAGCGUUACUGACGCUGAAGCUCGAAAGCGCGGGUAUCGAACAGGAUUAGAUACCCCAGUAC
rnacentral:rRNA from 1 species